UAGGGAAUCUUCGGCAAUGGGGGGAACCCUGACCGAGCAACGCCGCGUGAGUGAAGAAGGUUUUCGGAUCGUAAAGCUCUGUUGUUAAGGAAGAACGAGUGUGAGAAUGGAAAGUUCAUGCUGUGACGGUACUUAACCAGAAAGGGACGGCUAACUACGUGCCAGCAGCCGCGGUAAUACGUAGGUCCCGAGCGUUGUCCGGAUUUAUUGGGCGUAAAGCGAGCGCAGGCGGUUAGAAAAGUCUGAAGUGAAAGGCAGUGGCUCAACCAUUGUAGGCUUUGGAAACUGUUUAACUUGAGUGCAGAAGGGGAGAGUGGAAUUCCAUGUGUAGCGGUGAAAUGCGUAGAUAUAUGGAGGAACACCGGUGGCGAAGGCGGCCUGCUGGACUGUAACUGACGCUGAGGCUCGAAAGCGUGGGGAGCGAACAGG
rnacentral:rRNA from 1 species